UACGUAGGGUGCGAGCGUUGUCCGGAAUUAUUGGGCGUAAAGGGCUCGUAGGCGGUUUGUCGCGUCGGGAGUGAAAACCCAGGGCUUAACCCUGGGCUGGCUUCCGAUACGGGCAGACUAGAGGUAUGCAGGGGAGAACGGAAUUCCUGGUGUAGCGGUGAAAUGCGCAGAUAUCAGGGGGAACACCCGUGGCGAAAGCGGCUCUCUGGAACGGUACUGACGCUGAGACGCGAAAGCGUGGGGAGCGAACAGG
rnacentral:rRNA from 1 species